rnacentral:rRNA from 1 species
GACAGAGGAUGCGAGCGUUGUCCGGAAUUAUUGGGCGUAAAGAGCUCGUAGGCGGUGUGUCGCGUCGGCCGUGAAAACCUGCAGCUUAACUGUGGGCUUGCGGUCGAUACGGGCAUCACUGGAGUUCGGCAGGGGAGACUGGAAUUCCUGGUGUAGCGGUGAAAUGCGCAGAUAUCAGGAGGAACACCGGUGGCGAAGGCGGGUCUCUGGGCCGAUACUGACGCUGAGGAGCGAAAGCGUGGGGAGCGAACAGG